GACACCGGAGCGAAAGGCGUAUUCGCGCUGCAUUUCGUCCGGCGGCACGGUCGGCAGCAGUGCGACUCCGUUCGAAUCCACUGCCCAUGCACCGGCAAAGUCGUUGCCGGUGAUGAUGA
rnacentral:sRNA from 1 species